GAGAAAAUGGAUGGACGGUUGAAGAAAAGAGGGGAAAAGACCAUGCAGUUGAACUAACUUCUUUUUAAUUUCAAACAGGUAUUUUUUGCAUCCGUGCGAUCUGGAGGAAGUAGCCAAGUGUUUUUCAUGACCCUCAACAGAAAUUCCAUGAUGAACUGGUAACAGAAGAGCACUUGGCACUUAUCUUCAUGGCGUUAUUUCUAAUUUAAAAGAACAUAACUCAUGUGGACUUAUGCCAGUCUAGAGGCAGAAUCAGAAGGCUUGGUUGAACAUAUCGCUUUCCCUUUUUCCUCUCCCUCCGCCCCUCCCAGUACAGUCCAUCUUUCAAUGUUGCAGCCUGGUUGAGAAGGAGAGAAAAAGAUGGACCAUGUGCCCUUCGGAAUUAGGGAUAGAAACAAAUAUUGUGUGCUCUUAACGAUUAAGCUGUGUUAUGGUGG
rnacentral:lncRNA from 1 species